AGCCGGGUAGUCUAGCGGCCAAGGAUCCAGGGCUCUGGCCCCUGGGACCCCGGUUCGAAUCCGGGCCCGGCUACCU
rnacentral:tRNA from 2 species